AAAAAAAAAAAAAAGAGAGUACAAUGAUAUGCAGCUUCUGUAGCAAGACGGCUCUGUGACCAUCAUCAAGCAACCGUACCUGACAUGUAUGUUCAUUUUCAUUGCCAAACCAAAUAAGUACAUUCAAAACCUAACAUUUUUUUUUGUAAUUCAAAACCUAACAUAAUAUGCUUUAGUUUAUGUUUUUAUACAAAGAAACGUGUAUGCAGUUUAAGAUAGUUUGAAAUGUGUAGUCAAUUUAAUAUGUUGAUGACAAAAAAAAAAAAAAAAUCAAUUUAAUAUGUUAUGAUAUCUAGUCUUAUAGAGGUUAGAUUUCUUUUUGGUAACUAGACAAAAGACAAUUCUCACAUUCUAGCUAGAUUCAUAUAGACAAGUGUCUGUGUUUUUUUAAUGUUUACUUGGAAUAUUGACAUGAAUUAAUACGUGAUUAUGAAGGUACAUAAUUGUAUUUUUUUUUUGUAAUGCAUGAACGGUGCUAAUUAAAAAAGUUGGAUGGUCGAUGUGUUUAUUGUCCAUUUCUGGUGGAACUAUGUGGGCAGAACAAAUAUUUAUUAUUUACGUGUGUAUGUAUACGUUUAUUUUUGAAAGAAAUUACAAAGAAAAUAAAUAAUUAACUUAAAUGGUUUUGGAGUUUGCAUGGAACUUUAGUGUGAGACCAAGAAAUGACAAAAAUAUGAGCCUACACCUAAGAAGCCAGCUCAGUUGGGGCGGGGCAUUCACGUUUGUCAAUGUCUGUCUGCAAAGUUUUUAAAAUAUAUCAAAAGUUUUGUUUUAUCAGAGAAGUUUUUUUACUCUAGUUUUUUUUUUUUGAAUAAAGGUGGUGGUAUACAUAUAUAUAUAUUAGUUACAAUGGUCAACAAAUUAUGAUUUUUAGAAUUUAAAUGACAUAUACAAUUAAAAAUCAGGUUUUAUUACAUAUAUUUAAGUUGAACAACAUCAUAACAACAUGUAGCCCUGGGCAAAAUAUUCGCUAGAUUCGCUUCGUUUCGAUAUUCGUUUCGAU
rnacentral:lncRNA from 1 species